GCAGGGAUGCCUGAGAACUACUGACCAAGCUGCUGUAGGAUUCGGUGAUGGCCAGGACUUACCACAGCAGAAAGCCUUGACUACCGAGUGAAGGGUCUUCAUUCCCAUGAACCUCCCACAGUGGACUAGUGGAAAGGUCCUGCCUCACCCCAAGAGAGGUUGAGGGAUUUUCCGAGUUAUUUCGCUGUCUGGUCUUGAUAGAAGGAUGACAAACCAAUGCUACUCAGUGUGGGGCAACUAAGCAUCUCAGUGUCUCCCCCUGGGCCUACCAUUUAUGUAUGGCUGUGUCCUUUCCUUUUGAGCUCAGGGUUGCUGCUGAGCCCAAAGUGCACACUCAUCUUCCUGCCUUUUGGAAGGUCUUCCUGCUCCAGGAUAUACCUCAUCUUCUGUCCAGGAUUUCAUGUGCUUGUUCUUCUUUGGGAAAGAAGCAAACCUCAGGAGCGCAAACUCGUUUGUACCUUGGAACAGCUCUACUCUCCACAGCACUUUUGUGAUAUUUGGCCUCUGGCAACUGGCAGAGCUCUUCAGGGUGCCCAGGGGAAGUACAGGAAACUGCACUGCUCAGAGCCUCCAGAGAUCUGUGGGCUGGAUUGGGCUUCCCGUGAUGCUGCCUUGACCUCAUGGCC